UGAGGAAUAUUGGUCAAUGGGCGAGAGCCUGAACCAGCCAUCCCGCGUGCAGGAAGACGGCCCUAUGGGUUGUAAACUGCUUUUUUAUGGGAAGAAAAGCUCUACGUGUAGGGCACUGACGGUACCAUAUGAAUAAGCAUCGGCUAACUCCGUGCCAGCAGCCGCGGUAAUACGGAGGAUGCAAGCGUUAUCCGGAUUUAUUAGGUUUAAAGGGUGUGUAGGCGGAGAUUAAGUCAGUGGUGAAAUCUCACAGCUUAACUGUGAAACUGCCAUUGAUACUGGUUUUCUUGAGUAUAGUUGAAGUAGGCGGAAUGUGUAAUGUAGCGGUGAAAUGCUUAGAUAUUACACAGAACACCGAUUGCGAAGGCAGCUUACUAAGCUAUUACUGACGCUGAUGCACGAAAGCGUGGGGAGCGAACAGGAUUAGAUACCCUGGUAGUCCACGCUGUAAACGAUGAUUACUCGUUGUUGG
rnacentral:rRNA from 1 species